rnacentral:tRNA from 3 species
GCCAAUGUAGCUCAGCCUGGCAGAGCAUCUGAUUUGUAAUCAGAUGGUCGAGGGUUCAAAUCCCUUCAUUGGCU